rnacentral:tRNA from 1 species
AAGCCUGUGACGCAGUGGUUAGCGUGUCGUUCUUAUAUUGUAUGCUCCCUGUAGCAUCCAGUAUGACUUCUUUCGAGGAAUGCGAAAGUCGCGAGUUCAAGUCUCGCCAGGAUCA